GACGAAGGAUCCAAGCGUUAUCCGGAUUCAUUGGGUUUAAAGGGUGCGUAGGCGGCCCGGUAAGUCAGUGGUGAAAUCUCCUUGCUUAACAAGGAAACUGCCAUUGAUACUGCUGGGCUUGAGUACAGAUGCUGUGGGGCGGAAUAUGACAUGUAGUGGUGAAAAUACAUAGAGAUGUCAUAGAACACCAUUGCGAAGGCAGCUCACAAAACUGU
rnacentral:rRNA from 1 species